UCUCUUCUCUUCUCUUCUCUACUGUAUAAAACCACCAUUAGGUUAACCUUGUUCUUAUGUUUACAUUCUUUGCUCCGAUCCCACAAUGGGAUGAUCCACUAUAGUAUUUAAUUUGUGCACAUGGCCGGCCGGCCAAGUCAUAUAUAUCUGAUAUAAACCAUUGCCAUUUGACCGUGUUUGGGUCAUAUUGUUAACUAUACUGUUUCAUUGGAACAUAUAUAUUGUUCACAAUAUGAUCCAAACAAUGGUCAGAUUGCUUAAUGUUUGGUGAGAAUUGGUCACUGACUUUGAAGGAUCGAUGAGGGACAGAUCGAUCGCCAUGAGCAGAUCAGAGGCCAUGGUUUUGGAUGCGAUCAGAGGCCAUGGUAUCGGCAUCUAGCAAAUGGAAACAUAAAGAUGGAUUUGUAAAAUUUGUAAUUUUUUUCUUCAAUUACAAAAUAAUUGAAAGCAUUUAAUUUAGCUUAAUUCUGAGCAGAUUUAGUGUGGUACAGUUGUAUAUAGAUGGAGAUAUUUUUUACAUGUAGUUCAAGAUAUGAAAAAAAAAAAAUAGAAUCUUGCAAUCCAGCAACCACAUUAUAAUCAAAUUCUAUUUCUUAA